UAAAUUAAUUUUUAUUAUUUUUAUAUAUUAAUAUUUUUUAAUAAAAUUAUUUUUUGUUUUAUUAUUUAUAUAGAAAAAAGUUAUUUAAUUAUAGUUUAUUGGUUUUGUGAAUUUAAUAAUUUUUUAUUUAAAAGUAAAAUUGAUUUUUUAUACCUUGGGUAUCAGGGUUAAUUAAAUUUAUAAAUUUAGAUUUUUUUCCCGAAUUUAAAAGAGCUAUAUUUUUAUUAUUUUAUUGUUGAAUAAAUAUUUAAAAUAAAAAUAUUGUAAUGAAACGUUAUUCGUUUUUAAAUAUAUCUGGUUUUCUAAGAAAUAAAUUUAAUUUAUUUGUCUAAAAAUAUUUAAUUAAUUAUUAAUUAAUUAUUUUUGAUAUUUAAUUUUUUGAAGGAUAAGCUUUAAAUAAAAUUUUUAUUAUUUAUUUAUAUUUUUCUUUUAUUUAGAAAUAAAAUUAUUUAUUUUUAUUGUAUUUUAUAAUUAAGAAGAAUGUUAUUUUUAUUUUAUUUUAUUAUAAUUUUUUUAUUAGAAUUAAUGUUUUAAUUUUAAUAAUUUUGUAAUAAUGAUUAAAUUAGUAGAAUUACAUUUAUAUUUAAAAUAAUUAUUUAGUUUAUUAAAAGGAAUUAGGCAAUAAUUUUUUCACCUGUUUAUUAAAAACAUGGCUUUUUGUUUAAAAUUUAAAGUCAGUCCUGCCCAGUGAUAUUUGAUUUAACGGCCGCAGUAAUUUGACUGUGCUAAGGUAGCAUAAUCAUUAGUUUUUUAAUUGAAAACUGGAAUGAAGGGUUUAAUGAAAAAAAUACUGUCUCUUAAUAAAUUAUUUGAAUUUAACUUUUGAGUUAAAAGGCUUAAAUUUAAUUAAAAGACGAGAAGACCCUUUAGAGUUUAAUAUUUUUUUUAUUUUUAUUGUUUUUAGUAUUAAUUUUAAAAAGUAAAAAAUUAUUUGAUUGGGGUGAUUAUUAAAUACGAAUAACUUUAAUUUAAUUAUACAUAAAUUAAUGAAUAUUUGAUCCAUAAAAUUGAUUAAUAGAUAAAAUUACCUAAGGGAUAACAGCGUAAUUUUUUUGAAGAGUUCUUAUCGAUAAAAAAGAUUGCGACCUCGAUGUUGGAUUAAAAUUAACAAUUUGGUGUAGAAGCUAAUUAGUUUGGUCUGUUCGACCAUUAAAAUUUUACAUGAUCUGAGUUUAAACCGGCGUGAGCCAGGUUGGUUUCUAUCUUUAAUAAAAAUUAAUAAUUUAGUACGAAAGGACCAAUUUUUUUUUAUAAUAAAUAUGAGAUUGAAUAAUUUUA
rnacentral:rRNA from 1 species